AACUUGUAGUAAAUGACUGUAAGCAACACAAUACAUUACUGUCUCUCAUUCAAACUUUAUUAUGUUGGAAGAUAAAUUACAUCACAAUAUAUAAUAUAAAUGAUAGAAUAUUCAGUAUACAGUAUUUUUAAUGGGUUUUAAACAUAAUUGCAGCUUUUACAAAUAUCUGAAGGUUAACUUUGGUAAUAAUACAAUAUCAGAAUAUGAAAUAUGGAUACAGUACAGUUAACAGUUGGUUACUUAGCAGUUUUUCAACCCCAUAAACAAUUUACUUUAUUAGAUGAGUGAUUCCUUCAGUUAUGUUGACAUGUUGUACAGGAUAAAGUAUUACAGGUUUCUGUUUCCAUGGUCUCAGUAAACUAAUGUGUAUAAAGAAUAUAACAGAUGGGAGGUUACAGUAAUCAUUAUACUAUUACUCUGAUUACUUUGGUACAUUUACUGGGUAUUUCUAAUCUAGAAAAAACUGCUUGACUAAUGUUGUUAAUAUUAUGUAAUAUAUAAUAUGUUUAACUUCACUGGGCUGUGUAGACUGUAGGUCACUGCUCACUGCUGUACCUGUAAAGACAAGCAUAAAACACAGUGUUGGUUCUCAUAGUUAAGGUAUAAACACUAACAUUAUGUGAUAGAGGUUAAUAUAUAUAUAUAUAUAUAUAUAUAUAUAUAUAUAUAUAUAUAUAUAUAUAUAUAUAUAUUAGUUAUAUGUAUAUGUAGUUAAUAUAGCAGUAUUUACCUGAGGAAAACGUCACAGAAAGCUGUGAGGAGCUACCUGCCGGCAACGAAGGGGAGGGGCCAGAGCGUCAUCCGCGUGAGCCGCGUCAUCCGCGUGAGCCGCGUCAUAAUGCUGACCAAUCAGAGCAGACUGGGCUUUUCGGGAGGGGGGUCUUAAAGAGACAGGCGCUAAAACCGAGCGAUUCAGACAGAGGCUGAAAAGAGGUGCUCAGCUAUAGGCAGUAUGAGAAAAAUAAUGUGUUUUUUGAACAUCUAAACCUAUUGUAGGAGAGCCACAAAAUACAAUUAUGGACCUGAAAAAGGGGCAUAAUAUGACUCCUUUAAAAUAAUACUUGUACAAGGAUCUUGUUGGAUUGAGAAGCCACAGUCAGCGGAGUACUGUUACUCUGUCUUUUCUCGCCCCAAAAAGAGUAAUGACCAAAGGUUACAAGAGGUUAUAUUUGUUUACAUUAAG
rnacentral:lncRNA from 15 species